rnacentral:rRNA from 1 species
AUACGGAGGAUGCGAGCGUUAUCCGGAUUUAUUGGGUUUAAAGGGUGCGUAGGCUGUGCGUUAAGUCAGGGGUGAAAUGCCGUCGCUCAACGACGGAGCUGCCCUUGAUACUGGCGUGCUGGAGUACGGAUGCCGUUGGAGGAAUGAGUGGUGUAGCGGUGAAAUGCUUAGAUAUCACUCAGAACACCGAUUGCGAAGGCAUCUGACGAAUCCGUCACUGACGCUGAGGCACGAAAGCGUGUGGAUAGAACAGGAUUAGAUACCCUGGUAUUCCACGCCGUAAACGAUGAUGACUAACCGUCGGCGAUAGACAGCCGGUGGCCAAGCGAAAGCGAUAAGUCAUCCACCUGGGGAGUACGUCGGCAACGAUGAAACUCAAAUGAAUUGGCGGGG